UACGUAGGGGGCUAGCGUUGUCCGGUAUUUAUUGGGCGUAAAGAGCGUGUAGGCGGCCAGGUAGGUCUGCUGUGAAAACUCGAGGCUCAACCUCGAGAUGUCGGCGGAAACCAUCUGGCUAGAGUCCGGAAGAGGAGAGUGGAAUUCCUGGUGUAGCGGUGAAAUGCGCAGAUAUCAGGAAGAACACCCGUGGCGAAGGCGGCUCUCUGGGACGGUACUGACGCUGAGACGCGAAAGCGUGGGGAGCGAACAGG
rnacentral:rRNA from 1 species